rnacentral:rRNA from 1 species
AUACGUAGGGGGCGAGCGUUGUCCGGAAUGAUUGGGCGUAAAGGGCGCGUAGGCGGCGCGGUAAGUCUGGAGUGAAAGUCCUGCUUUCAAGGUGGGAAUUGCUUUGGAUACUGCCGCGCUUGAGUGCAGGAGAGGUUAUCGGAAUUCCCGGUGUAGCGGUGAAAUGCGUAGAGAUCGGGAGGAACACCAGUGGCGAAGGCGGGUAACUGGACUGCAACUGACGCUGAGGCGCGAAAGUGUGGGGAGCAAACAGGAUUAGAUACCCUGGUAGUCCACACUGUAAACGAUGAAUGCUAGGUGUAAGAGGUAUCGACCCCUUUUGUGCCGGGGUCAACACAAUAAGCAUUCCGCCUGGGGAGUACGGCCGCAAGGUUGAAACUCAAAUGAAUUGACGGGG